CUACGGGGGGCACCAGUGGGGAAUCUUGGACAAUGGGCGCAAGCCUGAUCCAGCCAUGCCGCGUGAGUGAAGAAGGCCUUAGGGUCGUAAAGCUCUUUCGCCAGAGAUGAUAAUGACAGUAUCUGGUAAAGAAACCCCGGCUAACUCCGUGCCAGCAGCCGCGGUAAUACGGAGGGGGUUAGCGUUGUUCGGAAUUACUGGGCGUAAAGCGCGCGUAGGCGGAUUAGUCAGUCAGAGGUGAAAUCCCAGGGCUCAACCCUGGAACUGCCUUUGAUACUGCUAGUCUUGAGUUCGAGAGAGGUGAGUGGAAUUCCGAGUGUAGAGGUGAAAUUCGUAGAUAUUCGGAGGAACACCAGUGGCGAAGGCGGCUCACUGGCUCGAUACUGACGCUGAGGUGCGAAAGUGUGGGGAGCAAACAGGAUUAGAUACCCUCGUAGUC
rnacentral:rRNA from 1 species